rnacentral:misc_RNA from 1 species
GAUGAAGAACGUAGCGAAAUGCGAUAAGUAAUGUGAAUUGCAGAAUUCAGUGAAUCAUCGAAUCUUUGAACGCACAUUGCGCCCGUCAGUAUUCUGGCGGGCAUGCCUGUUCGAGCGUCAUUACGCCCCUCAAGUCCCCUGUGGACUUGGUGUCGGGGAUCGGCGAGGCUGGUUUUCCAGCACAGCCGUCCCUUAAAUUAAUUGGCGGUCUCGCCGUGGCCCUCCUCUGCGCAGUAGUAAAACACUCGCAACAGGAGCCCGGCGCGGUCCACUGCCGUAAAACCCCCCAACUUUUUAUAGUUGACCUCGAAUCAGGUAGGACUACCCGCUGAACUUAAGCAUAUCAAUAAGCGGAGGA